rnacentral:rRNA from 2 species
UCCGCCAUACUUUAAAACAUGCAAGUCGAACGGCAGCACGGGUGCUUGCACCUGGUGGCGAGUGGCGAACGGGUGAGUAAUACAUCGGAACAUGUCCUGUAGUGGGGGAUAGCCCGGCGAAAGCCGGAUUAAUACCGCAUACGAUCUACGGAUGAAAGCGGGGGACCUUCGGGCCUCGCGCUAUAGGGUUGGCCGAUGGCUGAUUAGCUAGUUGGUGGGGUAAAGGCCUACCAAGGCGACGAUCAGUAGCUGGUCUGAGAGGACGACCAGCCACACUGGGACUGAGACACGGCCCAGACUCCUACGGGAGGCAGCAGUGGGGAAUUUUGGACAAUGGGCGAAAGCCUGAUCCAGCAAUGCCGCGUGUGUGAAGAAGGCCUUCGGGUUGUAAAGCACUUUUGUCCGGAAAGAAAUCCUUGGCUCUAAUACAGUCGGGGGAUGACGGUACCGGAAGAAUAAGCACCGGCUAACUACGUGCCAGCAGCCGCGGUAAUACGUAGGGUGCAAGCGUUAAUCGGAAUUACUGGGCGUAAAGCGUGCGCAGGCGGUUUGCUAAGACCGAUGUGAAAUCCCCGGGCUCAACCUGGGAACUGCAUUGGUGACUGGCAGGCUAGAGUAUGGCAGAGGGGGGUAGAAUUCCACGUGUAGCAGUGAAAUGCGUAGAGAUGUGGGAGGAAUACCGAUGGCGAAGGCAGCGCUCUUGGGCCAAUACUGACGCUCAUGCACGAAAGCGUGGGGAACCAGACAGGAUUACAUACCCCUGGGUAGUCCCACGCCCCUAAUCGAU